rnacentral:misc_RNA from 1 species
UACGAACCGGACAAACGUUAUUCGGAAUCACUGGGCUUAAAGAGUGCGUAGGCGGCCUGUCAAGUUGGGUGUGAAAUCCCUCGGCUCAACCGAGGAACUGCGCUCAAGACUGGCAGGCUUGAGGAAGACAGGGGUGAGCGGAACUGAUGGUGGAGCGGUGAAAUGCGUUGAUAUCAUCAGGAACACCAGUGGCGAAGGCGGCUCACUGGGUCUUUACUGACGCUGAGGCACGAAAGCUAGGGUAGCGAACGGG